rnacentral:rRNA from 1 species
GACGAACGCUGGCGGCGUGCUUAACACAUGCAAGUCGAACGGAGCACCCUUGACUGAGGUUUCGGCCAAAUGAUAGGAAUGCUUAGUGGCGGACUGGUGAGUAACGCGUGAGGAACCUGCCUUCCAGAGGGGGACAACAGUUGGAAACGACUGCUAAUACCGCAUGACGCAUGACCGGGGCAUCCCGGGCAUGUCAAAGAUUUUAUCGCUGGAAGAUGGCCUCGCGUCUGAUUAGCUAGAUGGUGGGGUAACGGCCCACCAUGGCGACGAUCAGUAGCCGGACUGAGAGGUUGACCGGCCACAUUGGGACUGAGAUACGGCCCAGACUCCUACGGGAGGCAGCAGUGGGGAAUAUUGGGCAAUGGACGCAAGUCUGACCCAGCAACGCCGCGUGAAGGAAGAAGGCUUUCGGGUUGUAAA